GACGAACGUUGGCGGCGUGCUUAAUACAUGCAAGUCCACUGAAGCAGUGGUAGCAAUAUCGCUGUGGAGGUGGCGCACGGGUGAGUAACACGUAGGUAAUCUGCCUUCAGGUCUGGCAUAACUCCGGGAAACCGGGGCUAAUAGCAGAUGAUGCAGCGGCUCGACAUCGAGACAGUUGUUAAAGCUAUGGCGCCUGAAGAUGAGCCUGCGUCUGAUUAGCUAGUUGGCGGGGUAACGGCCCACCAAGGCAACGAUCAGUAGCUGGUCUGAGAGGAUGAUCGGCCACACUGGAACUGAGACACGGUCCAGACUCCUACGGGAGGCAGCAGUAAGGAAUAUUGCUCAAUGGGAGAAAUCCUGAAGCAGCAACGCCGCGUGAGGGACGAAGGGCUUUUGCUUGUAAACCUCUGUAGUGAGAGAAAAAAAUCCCAAUCUUUGGGACAUGAUGGUAGCUCAAAAGUAAGCCCCGGCUAACUACGUG
rnacentral:rRNA from 1 species